AUUGAACGCUGGCGGCAGGCCUAACACAUGCAAGUCGAGCGGAGCGGCGGACGGGUGAGUAAUGCCUAGGAAUCUGCCUGGUAGUGGGGGAUAACGUCCGGAAACGGGCGCUAAUACCGCAUACUAUCAGAUCAGCCUAGGUCGGAUUAGCUAGUUGGUGGGGUAAAGGCCUACCAAGGCGACGAUCAGUAACUGGUCUGAGAGGAUGAUCAGUCACACUGGAACGUAGACAAGGUACAGACUCCUACGGUAGGGAGCAGUGGGGAAAUGGGGACAAUGGACGAAAGCCUGAUCCAGCCAUGCCGCGUGUGUGAAGAAGGUCUGCGGAUUGUAAAGCACUUUAAGUUGGGAGGCGUUACCAACAGAAUAAGCACCGGCUAACUUCGUGCCAGCAGCCGCGGUAAUAC
rnacentral:rRNA from 1 species